GCACUAUCGACUCAAGACCUUUUAUUUGCCAUAUAUGUUUCUGUAUAAAGACAUAUAUCGUGUGAUGCAUGACUGAAUAUGUGGUAUUCUCUCUAAAGUGAUUGGCUUUCCAUGUGCAAUUACUGUGUGGAUAUCUUUGAAGGUGUCUUUUAUGUGAACAAAUUUCUCUAUCAGAACAAUUAAUGCGGUGUCUAUUAUGCUUUGAUUUCGUGUACAUGCAAUUGUUCUUUUUGUUAAAAAUAAUGCUAGCUGUCUGUACACAUGGGCUGUGAUGUAUUUAUGGCAGUGGUUUCCUAUAAAUGAACGGCUGUGGUAGGCCUGUGGUGUGAUGCUGUGUUGUUUGAGGAUGUUAUCAAAUUUAGAGCAGGCAGGACUUGACCUUGGAAUAAGCUCCUCAAACUCUAACUCUGACAGCUGAUCAUGUACACUAGAACCCUCCCUCUCAAAUCUCUCUGCUUCUCGUGGAUUAUCUGACAAAACCUGACAGCCCUGUAACAAUUGAAUGUCCCCCUCGUUUUUUUCAGCCCUCUUUCAUUUUUUGCCGUAGAUAUGCACAUUUUAGAGGCAAGAAAACUAAAAACAGCAAGGAUGAAUGUUCAGAGUGGUGGGUUGGUAUUUUU